rnacentral:rRNA from 1 species
UACGUAGGGACCAAGCGUUGUUCGGAUUUACUGGGCGUAAAGGGCGCGUAGGCGGCGUGACAAGUCACUUGUGAAAUCUCCGGGCUUAACUCGGAACGGUCAAGUGAUACUGUCGUGCUAGAGUGCAGAAGGGGCAAUCGGAAUUCUUGGUGUAGCGGUGAAAUGCGUAGAUAUCAAGAGGAACACCUGAGGUGAAGACGGGUUGCUGGGCUGACACUGACGCUGGAGGCGACGAAAGCUAGGGGAGCAAACGGG